GAUGAACGCUGGCGGCGUGCCUAAUACAUGCAAGUCGAGCGAACGGACGAGAAGCUUGCUUCUCUGAUGUUAGCGGCGGACGGGUGAGUAACACGUGGAUAACCUACCUAUAAGACUGGGAUAACUUCGGGAAACCGUAGCUAAUACCGGAUAAUAUUUUGAACCGCAUGGUUCAAAAGUGAAAGACGGUCUUGCUGUCACUUAUAGAUGGAUCCGCGCUGCAUUAGCUAGUUGGUAAGGUAACGGCUUACCAAGGCAACGAUGCAUAGCCGACCUGAGAGGGUGAUCGGCCACACUGGAACUGAGACACGGUCCAGACUCCUACGGGAGGUAGCAGUAGGGAAUCUUCCGCAAUGGGCGAAGGCCUGACGGAGCAACGCCGCGUGAGUGAUGAAGGUCUUCGGAUCGUAAAACUCUGUUAUUAGGGAAGAACAUAUGUGUAAGUAACUGUGCACAUCUUGACGGUACCUAAUCAGAAAGCCACGGCUAACUACGUG
rnacentral:rRNA from 1 species